CGUUACAGAGGAGAGGGGGAGAGGGGAGAGAGAGAGAGAAGGAGAAACAAACAGGUGUGUUGUACUGCCCCCUCGCUCCCUCCCCCCUGCCCCUCCUCCUCCACCUCUCA